AGUGAACGCUGGCGGUAGGCCUAACACAUGCCAGUCGAACGGCAGCACAGUAAGAGCUUGCUCUUACGGGUGGCGAGUGGCGGACGGGUGAGGAAUACAUCGGAAUCUACUUUUUCGGGGGGGAUAACGUAGGGAAACUUACGCUAAUACCGCAUACUACCUACGGGUGAAAGCAGGGGAUCUUCGGACCUUGCGCGAUUGAAUUAGCCGAUGUCGGAUUAGCUAGUUGGCGGGGUAAAGGCCCACCAAGGCGACGAUCCGUAGCUGGUCUGAGAGGAUGAUCAGCCACACUGGAACUGAGACACGGUCCAGACUCCUACGGGAGGCAGCAGUGGGGAAUAUUGGACAAUGGGCGCAAGCCUGAUCCAGCAAUACCGCGUGAGUGAAGAAGGCCUUCGGGUUGUAAAGCCCUGUUGUUGGGGAAGAAAAGCAGCAGGUUAAUACCCCGCUGUUCUGACGGUACCCAAAGAAUAAGCACCGGCUAACUUCGUG
rnacentral:rRNA from 1 species